rnacentral:lncRNA from 1 species
AUGGCCAGAGAGGAUCUUCCAUUCCUUGACAGACAUUCUCCAGGAAACUGCUGUUACUGCUCAGCACAAAGAGCAGAAGUUCUAAUGCCUUUCUACAGAAGACUCAGUUUGGAUGUCAACAAAAAGCAGAUUUUCAGGCACAGAUCCUCACUUCUCGAGCCAUCAGGAUUGAAAAACAAGUCACUGGGGCCCUGCAAAGCACAAUUUUUCCUUUCCCACACACGAGCUGCUUUGUCUGGUGGUUGGAGGGAAGCAGCACCCAUGCUUCUGUGCUCUCCAGGAAGGAUGACCUGGCUGUGCUGUCAGACUUGGACCAAGUUCCAGAGAUCUUGCUUGGACUGAAGGGUUUGGCACUCCAGCCAUGUGAGCGCCAACAAAUAAGCAGAGAUGUACCCUCCAUUGCUCUCUAUUCAUACGCAAAAGUUUCCAUCCUCAAGAAAUCUCUAAUGUGUCUUCUUAAUCCUGAAAGACAGAAUAGGAUGUAUGCACACCUCUGUCACCUCAGCACUGCUGCAGAAAUCGGCACCGUGGAGGGCAAAGUGUUUUUCCAGGCUAUAGCCUGUGUGGGAAUGCUGAAAGCAGCAGCAGGAGUUAACACUGGAACAAUUUCCUCCUAAAUCAUUUGGUUGGGAUUAAUCACUUGGGAUUUCCUAAAUUGAAUGCUGGAACUGUACAAGAAGUAACAUCCUGAAGUUAUGCAGCAAGUGGUAUGGUUUGGCACCCCACACAGGCGUGACUGGGAGACGCUUGUGAAAUGGUUUAAAGGUGAGAAAGUCACGUCCAGAGCUGAGGACACAGGAGGUGGUUGUGGCACAGCCAGGCUGGAGCGGAGUAUGUGGUGAUGGCAUGUCUUCCUGCUGUGGUGGGCUGCAGUGCUGUCCCUGCUGGUCCCCUGCACCCCUCAAAGCUGACAAACCAGAUGGGUGCAAGAUUUGGAUUUGGUAGCUUGAUGGAUUUGGUGUGGCACAGGUAAAGUGAUAGAAGCAAAGCACAGUUGCGCACAUUUGCAGCGUCACAGGGGUCAGACUCCUUCUGAUCAAGUGCCAGAUCCUGCACUUUGGUCACAACAACACCAUGCAAUGCUUCAGAUUUGGGGCAGAGUGGCUGGAAAGCUAUAGAGGAAAAGGAUCUGGGGGUAUUGGUGGACAGACAACUGAACAUGAGCCAGCAGCGUGCCCAGGUGGCCAAGAAGGCCAAUGGCAUCCUGUCUUGUGUCAGAAACAGUGUAGCCAGCAGGAACAGGGAGGUGAUCCUUCCUCUGUACUCAGCAAUGGUGAGGCUGCACCUCGAGUACUGUGUUCAGUUUUGGCUCUGGACCAUGUUAAGAGAAGGCAAUGAAGCUGUGAAGGGUCUGAAGCACAAUUCUUAUGGAGAGAGGCUGAGGG